GUUUUUCUCCCGGUGCAGGAAAACAUGAAGAACGGGGAAAGUAGCUGCCGCAUGCCAAUGUGAAACUCCGAGGAGUCUAGCCAUUCUGAUCUGGCCUUCCAGGUCAUUAGGAGGCUCUGCCAUCGUGUGAGGAGGGAAAGCCUGCUGUCUGGAGAGCACACUGGUCUCCAGCGUGGGGAGAGAGAGCACUUUCGGGCUUUGCUGAGGAGGGUCUUCAGAAAAAAGAUGUGCAGCUCGGACAUGGAGGGCAGAAGGUGCUCAGGAAGGAUCUUCUGCAUGCAGGAGCCUCCUCUCUCGAAGGGUGUUCUCCAAUCAUGAGCUUAUUUGCUGUUUACAUGCCCGAGGAGGACUGACCUUAGCAGCUAUGAUGACCUCAUUUAUCACUGUGGAUAAGCACUUGGCCAGGGUCUCAGCCAGCACCCCAGGCCCAGCCUCCUGGUUUACUCAUUUCUGGGGGUGGUGGCAUCUGCCCACUGUCCUGAACUUUCCUCUGCUUGGGUAGGGACAGGGAGCCCCAGCAGCACUUGUUCCAGGAUGACCCAGCAAAUUGCAAGGUGGCAUUUGGCCUUUUCCUCAGCAAUUGCCAGACUUUGUCCCAGGGUGAGGAGGAAGCCAAUGGAAGAGCUGGGGUGAGGAGAUCAAAGACCUUUCCAGAGAUUCAGGCAGGGGCCCAAACCAAGGGCAUUUCCAGGCGGGCACUGGGACCAGCCCCAGGGACACGCCAACGCACUGCUGGGGCCAAGGGGAAAGGUUGGUUUCAAAACCACAUGUGCGGCAGCCUCACCACUGAGUCAUGCUUGUGAGGCCUGCUGGAGACCAAAGACAGGGGCUACAAGCUCAAAACCGCCUGGUUAGUGCUGACUCUAUUGAUUUCCUGGCCUUCCACUUCCAAACCUUCCUUGGAUGGCUAAACUCCUUCUGGAAGACACACCUGUUUUUUAUAUUUGCCUGGUAUACCUCACUUCUUUGAGUGACAGCACCCCAGAGAUCCCCUUCUCCACUCUCACUCUUUGUAGUUAAGGUGAGGUUGGAUUCUCUCCUCUCUGCACCCCUCAACCCCCCUACCCCCAGCACUAAGGACCCAGGCUCAGCCAAUCAGAAUAUCUCUCAUGCCCAUCAUGGGCUCUAGGAUGGGAGCAUGAUGGAAGAGUGGCCAUUGAGGAUCAGUUCCAAGACUUUUGUGAGAAAUGCGGGGGAAGAGACCCUCUCUUUUCCUAUAGGGAUUGCUCACUGUGCAAAUAUGCCAGCCUGGAACAGCUGGGGCCUCCAUGUGCACAGUGGAGAAUCAGAGAAUCAGGUCACCCCACAGGAAAGCAGGACCAUAAUGGGGUACUAGGCAGAGACCUAGCCUCCUGGCCAUGCACCUCUGAGCUGUGUGGACUGAUUCUUUUUUGCUUAAGCAUGCUUUUGUUUUCAUUUCAUUUAUUUAUUUAUUUUCAGACACAGUCUUGCUCUGUUGUCCAGGCUGGACUGCAGUGGUGUGAUUUCAAUCUCAGCUCACUGCAACCUCUGCCUCCCCGGUUCAAGUGAGUCUUCUGCCUCAGCCUCCUGAGUAGCUGAAACUACAGGCAUGUGCCACCACGCCAGGCUAAUUUUUGUAUUUUUAGUAGAGAUAGGGUUUCACCAUAUUGGCCAGGCUGGUCUUGAACUCCUGACCUUGUGAUCCACCCGCCUCAGCCUCCCAAAGUGCUGGGAUUACAGGUGUGAGCCACCGCGCCCGGUGAAGCAUGCUUUCAAGUGGGGUUUCUGUCAAUUGCAAACAGAAGAUUUCUGACUAAUAUUCCCUGGAUAAUAUUUAUUCUACCUUCCUCUCCAUUCUUACUCUCUGCCAUAGCUUAAGCCUCAUCAUCCACUUCCACAUCUCCUACCUUAGAUGAUUUUAGCAGACUACCAACUCAGAAUUACAAUGGAAUCACUGCAGUAGAUGACUAACUGCUAUUUGCAUGCAUGUUUUAUUUGUGAAUGUGACCUUACAAAUCGAUUUUCAUGUCUCACUGAUGAAGGCACCAAGCGUCAGGGAGACAAGGGACUUGUGUGCAGCCAGUACUGCCAACAAGAAGGCCCAAUCAAGAUCCUCCCACAACAAGAGCAGAUUGUGAGGUAAGAACACUUUGAUCCCUUGGGAACACAGAGCCAUGAGUGUGGCCAGACUCUCUCAAAUAUCUUAGACUUCAUGGCUAUAAGGCACAAAUUCUAGUUUUGGUUUAUCCUUUUCCUCCUGCCCUCAUCUGCCCUCCACUCAAUUUCCAAGCUCAUCUUUAAUUUUGUUGCCAUGAUCUCAUGGGCCAGGCUUGGGUGACAUGCCCAUCACUGAGCAAUCUCUCAGGUCAGGGGAUGCGCUGUCCAAUGGGGUUGUCUUGGGUCAUAUGCCCUGCCGUGCAUUUCGGUCAGUCCUAUUCAAGCCAGAUGGAUGGAAAGUGGGGAAGAUGGUUCUCCAGAAGCAAAUAAGGUGCUGUUACCAGGAAGGGUGGCCACUCCUUCUCACUCCCUUGCCUAAGACCUCAGCCACCCAAAGCAACAAUCGUCUAUUUGGUUCUAUAGCGUGGCAAGCUCUAUGCUGAGCACUGGAAGGACAAAGAGAGAUUGGGCACAGACUUCUCACUGAUCCAGGUGAUGAAGAGCUCACAUCUGAGAGGAUGUGACCAUGGAUGACCCACCAGAAUGUCAUGGGAUCCAGCUACAGCCAAGGAAGCACAGAGCACCGUGGGAGCGAUUUAUUGUGCUUGGGGAUGGGGAAGGGGACAUGGGAGGAGCCAUAUUGAGAAAGUAGCAUGGGUACUUGGCUUCACAGAGUGUGGCAGCUUUCAUCAGGAAGUGAUGGUGGGGGAACAGCGUCUCUGGCGGAGGGAAGCAGCAGGUGCAGAGGUGCAGAGGUGUGAGGAGUCUGUCACAUUCUGGGAAGGGAGUAUGGUUGGGUGACAAUGCAAGACAGAGAAAGCAAGGAGGGAAGGAGGGGCCUAGCCUGAGGAAUAAAGAAUAAUAAAAGCAGGAAAACAAUUGCUGAGAGUUUGGAUACCUUUUUCUGGCCUUUCAUCUAAGCUUUGCUAGCCAGCCAAGAGAAAGCUGGCACUUCCCCUCCCC
rnacentral:lncRNA from 1 species